rnacentral:rRNA from 1 species
CCUACGUGGGGCAGCAGUUGGGCAUAUUGCACAAUGGGCGAAAGCCUGAUGCAGCAACGCCGCGUGAGCGAUGAAGGCUUUCGGGUCGUAAAGCUCUGUCCUCAGGGAAGAUAAUGACGGUACUUGAGGACGAAGCCCCGGCUACCUACGUGCCAGCAGCCGCGGUAAUACGUAGGGGUCUAGCGUUAUCCGGAUUUACUGGGCGUAACGGGUGCGUAGGUGGUUUCUUACUUCAGAGGUGAAAGUCCACGCCUAAACCGUAGUAAGCCUUUGAACAUUGGAAACUUGAGUGCAGGAGAGGGAAGUGGAAUUCCUAGUGUAGCGGUGAAAUGCGUAGAUAUUAGGAGGAACACCAGUUGCGAAGGCGGCUCUCUGGACUGUAACUGACACUGAGGCACGAAAGCGUGGGGAGCAAACAGGAUUAGAUACCCCUGUAGUC